rnacentral:rRNA from 1 species
CCUGGCGGCACUAGCGCGGUGGUCCCACCUGAGUCCCACCCCGAUGCCGAACUCAGAAGUGAAACGCCGUAGCGCCGAUGGUAGUGUGGGGUCUCCCCAUGUGAGAGUAGGGAACUGCCAGGC